GAUACGGUGGAUACGGAGGAGACGGUGAUCAUCAGCAAUUCAUUUCCCCGGGCACUCCUUAUGUUCAUCAAAACAAUUCGGACGUUGGAGGAUAUGGUGGUUAUGGUGGAUAUGGUAGAUAUGGUGGUGAAGCACCUCCGAUUCUGGACAGUCUGUACUUAAAAAAGACGGUUUUCAACUCCUUAGAUGAACUAAAGAAACGGAUACAAGAAAUAGCAAAUGCGGAUGGUUUCGUUAUUGUCACCCGUCGAUCAAAGAAAAUCGGGGGAAGAACCGGGAGGGUAUGGCUUGAAUGUGAUCGUGGUGGUGAGCACCAGAGUACAGCAACACUUAGAAAAGCUGGAAGCAAAAAAAACCGGUUGCCCGUUUUACCUGCUAGCUGUUCGAAACCACCCGUAUGAAACCUGGGAGAUAAAAGACGAAACAAUUGAACAUAACCACGAACUUUGUGAGGACCUGUCGGCCCACGCGUUUGUGCGAAGGUUUACUCCAAGCGAAAUGAAACUGAUCGAGCAGCUGACAGCUCAAAACAUGGAGCCGCGCAAAAUAUUUCAAACGAUAAGGAAGCAGGACCCCGACAGGUUUCAUGUUCAGAAAGACGUUCAAAACGUUGUAG